UCUAAACAUUGUUUUAGAUAUACUUGAGUGAUCGUUGAUUCCUCUGGAGAUUCUUGUGCUUCUGUCUCCUUUAAUUCACCUGUAUGUUUAUUUAAAGGCAUUUUGUUUGGCGUGGAAAUCGAAGAAGAUUCCAAAGUGCUUUUAUCUGCUGGAGCAUUAGAAAAAUUUGAAAGUCUCUUUUCCUGUUUUUCUUUUUUUUCCCGAUCUUUUUUUGAAAGAGACUUCAACUCUUGUUUCUGAUCCGCUGUUUUCCUUGUUGUCAUUUCUUUUUUUUUUCUUU